rnacentral:rRNA from 1 species
UACAGAGGUGCCAAGCGUUGUUCGGAUUUAUUGGGCGUAAAGGGUGCGUAGGCGGUUAUACAAGUCGGGUGUGAAAUCCCGGAGCUCAACUCCGGAAUGGCAUUCGAAACUGUAUAGCUCGAGGUCUGGAGAGGUGACUGGAAUUCUCGGUGUAGCAGUGAAAUGCGUAGAUAUCGAGAGGAACACCAGAGGCGAAGGCGAGUCACUGGACAGAACCUGACGCUGAGGCACGAAAGCUAGGGGAGCAAACGGG